UGUUUAUCCAGAGGUACAGCCUGGGUAGUAGUAUAGCUUCCCCACACUACUCCAGUAAUGAGUUUCAACCCUGUCCUGGAGGAAGCACCUCUAGAGGGAAA
rnacentral:sRNA from 1 species